AUCGAACGCUGGCGGCAGGCUUAACCCAUGCAAGUCGAGGGGAGCGGCAGACGGGUGAGUAACGCGUGGGAACGUACCUGUUGGUUCGGAACAACACAGGGAAACUUGUGCUAAUACCGGAUACCGAAAGAUCGGCCCGCGUCUGAUUAGUUAGUUGGUAGGGUAAUGGCCUACCAAGGCGACGAUCAGUAGCUGGUCUGAGAGGAUGAUCAGCCACAUUGGGACUGGGACACGGCCCAAACUCCUACGGGAGGAAGCUGGGGGGAGUAUUGGACGAUGGGUGCAACCCUAAGCCAGCCAUGUGGCUUGAGUCAUGAAGGCCUUAGUGUUGUAGAGCUCUAUUGUGCAAGCAGCGGUACCGCAAGACUAAGCCCCGGCUGACUUCGUGACAGCAGCCGCGGUAAUAC
rnacentral:rRNA from 1 species